AGCGAGAUAGUGUAAUUGGUAGCACAACAGUCUCAUGAUCUGUUAGUUUAGGUUCAAAACCUGAUUUCGCUA
rnacentral:tRNA from 1 species